rnacentral:lncRNA from 1 species
AAAAAAGAAUAAAAUCUCUGGAUUCUAUCUUUGUAUAGAAGACGUGUCUGUCAGUUAAGCAGAAUUCCAUUAAGAUUUAACACAGCUUUUGACGUAUAGAAGAAUAGAAACUAACCUAAGAUUAACUUAAAUGUUGAUGAUACUAUAAAGAAAAGGAUUGCUACACAUGUCUAGCUUUAGCAACUCUUGUUGCAGGCUAGACAAAUAGUGAAUUGUCAAACAGGAUAAAUAUUUAGAAUGUCAGGUUUUUUUUUGUGAAAUGAUUUUUUAUCAUCUUUUUAAAUUUUCAAAACUCAUGGCAGAUUUUAGACAUCAAUUUCAGAUUACGCAAUUGGUGUAGAACAUUGCAUUCAAUAUCUUUACAGUUUCAUUCCAAUUUGCACAAAAAAAAUAUUUUUAAAAUAAGGAGAUGUGGUAUGAUUGCCAAUGACACAGAAAUGCACAACUAUAGGUCUUCAACAAUGAACAAGGCCCGUAAAGUAUAGUCAGCUAUAAAAGGCCCCGAAAUGACAAUGUAAAAAAAUCAAUCGAAAACUAAUGGCCUUAUUUAUUUUUUUAAAAAGAGGAACAAAACACAAAUAUGUAACAUAUAAACAAACGACAACCACUUAAUUACUGGCUUCUGGCUUGCUUAGGACAGGCACAUACACUGUAUUUAAUUCUUUUUAAAAACAUCUGUAAUGUCUUAUUCAUAUUCAUUUUACUUAUCUUUAUAUAUGCUUUCAAGUGAAAAUAAAACACUAAUCACAAAUACUCAACUAAUGCCUUGUUUAUAAAUUUUAGAACAAAAAGGGGG